rnacentral:rRNA from 1 species
GUGGGGAAUUUUGGACAAUGGGCGCAAGCCUGAUCCAGCCAUUCCGCGUGCAGGAUGAAGGCCUUCGGGUUGUAAACUGCUUUUGUACGGAACGAAAAGCCUCUGGUUAAUACCUGGGGGUCAUGACGGUACCGUAAGAAUAAGCACCGGCUAACUACGUGCCAGCAGCCGCGGUAAUACGUAGGGUGCGAGCGUUAAUCGGAAUUACUGGGCGUAAAGCGUGCGCAGGCGGUGAUGUAAGACAGUGGUGAAAUCCCCGGGCUCAACCUGGGAACUGGCAUUGUGACUGCAAGGCUAGAGUGCGGCAGAGGGGGAUGGAAUUCCGCAGGUAGCAGUGAAAUGCGUAGAUAUGCGGAGGAACACCGAUGGCGAAGGCAAUCCCCUGGGCCUGCACUGACGCUCAUGCACGAAAACGUGGGGAGCAAACAGGAUUAGAAACCCUUGUAGUCC